rnacentral:tRNA from 1 species
GCCGGGAUAGCUCAGUGAGGUAGAGCAAAGGACUGAAAAUCCUCGUGUCA